UGCGUAGGCGGGCUUGUAAGUCAGUGGUGAAAUACUGCCGCUUAACGGUAGAACUGCCAUUGAUACUGCGAGUCUUGAAUAUGGUUGAGGUAGGCGGAAUGUGUUGUGUAGCGGUGAAAUGCAUAGAUAUGACACAGAACGCCGAUUGCGAAGGCAGCUUACUAAGCCAUUAUUGACGCUGAGGCACGAAAGCGUGGGGAGCGAACAGGAUUAGAUACCCUGGUAGUCC
rnacentral:rRNA from 1 species